UAGCCGUAAACGAUACUCGCUAGGUGUCGGCCACGGUGCGACCGUUGUCGGUGCCGUAGGGAAGCCGUGAAGCGAGCCACCUGGGAAGUACGGCCGCAAGGCUGAAACUUAAAGGAAUUGGCGGGGGAGCACCACAACGGGUGGAGCUCGCGGUUUAAUUGGAUUCAACGCCGGAAAUCUUACCGGGACCGACAGCAACAUGAAGGCCAGGCUGAAGACUUUGCCGGAUUAGCUGAGAGGUGGUGCAUGGCGUAGUCGUGU
rnacentral:rRNA from 1 species